UACGUAGGGCGCGAGCGUUGUCCGGAAUUAUUGGGCGUAAAGAGCUCGUAGGCGGCCUGUUGCGUCCGCUGUGAAAUCCCAGGGCUCAACCCUGGGCGUGCAGUGGAUACGGGCAGGCUGGAGGCAGGCAGGGGAGAACGGAAUUCCCGGUGUAGCGGUGAAAUGCGCAGAUAUCGGGAGGAACACCUGUGGCGAAAGCGGCUCACUGGACCACAACUGACGCUGAGGCGCGAAAGCUAGGGGAGCAAACAGG
rnacentral:rRNA from 1 species